CUACGGGAGGCAGCAGUCGAGAAUUUUUCACAAUGGGGGAAACCCUGAUGGAGCGACGCCGCGUGGGGGAUGAAUGGCUUCGGCCCGUAAACCCCUGUCAUUCGCGAACAAUGCCUGCGGCUUAAUACGUCGCAGGUUGAUAGUAGCGGAAGAGGAAGGGACGGCUAACUCUGUGCCAGCAGCCGCGGUAAUACAGAGGUCCCAAGCGUUGUUCGGAUUCACUGGGCGUAAAGGGUGCGUAGGUGGUCGGGUAAGUCUGAUGUGAAAUCUCGGAGCUCAACUCCGAAACGGCAUUGGAUACUAUUCGGCUUGAGAGUUGGAGGGGGGACUGGAAUUCUCGGUGUAGCAGUGAAAUGCGUAGAUAUCGAGAGGAACACCAGUGGCGAAGGCGAGUCCCUGGACAACUUCUGACACUGAGGCACGAAAGCUAGGGGAGCAAACAGGAUUAGAUACCCUGGUAGU
rnacentral:rRNA from 1 species